rnacentral:rRNA from 1 species
UACAGAGGGGGCAAGCGUUAUUCGGAAUUAUUGGGCGUAAAGGGCGCGUAGGCGGCCUGGCAAGUGGAAGGUGAAAUCCCUCGGCUUAACCGAGGAACUGCCUCCCAAACUGCUUGGCUUGAGACCGGGAGAGGUGAGUGGAAUUCCCAGUGUAGCGGUGAAAUGCGUAGAUAUUGGGAGGAACACCAGUGGCGAAGGCGGCUCACUGGACCGGUACUGACGCUGAUGCGCGAGAGCGUGGGGAGCAAACGGG